UACAUGCACGCUGUGCUAUCCCAUGAUGCCCCGCGAGAGAAUUCAUGAACGCAACUGACGCAGGUAGGUCACCUGACCAUGACAAAAUGGCGGAUGUAGUACGUCCGUAUUUCAGUCACACUGCUCACAUUCAUACUGUGUAGAACGUACUUUUCUAACGGCUAAGUAGUACGUUUAAAUUCAAAUGCAGUACCUAUAGUAGUAGGCGGUUUCGAACGCAGCCUAAGUGUAGAAGCGGCCAUACUCUAACCGCUGCUGUUUUCUGUGUUAUAUUUCAUCUUCAACAGCAAUACUGAACUUAUAUAAAGACGUGUUUGGUCAUUAACGUCUGAAUGCAGAAUUAUCCAAACACCUGAGGAGAUUUCUCUGCAUGGAAGACUCGUGAAUGGGAGAUUAACCUGCUGCUGCCGCUUCUCCAAUAAGAGCGGGUCGUGGGGGCAGCAGUCUUAUGAGAGAACCCCAGACACUCUCCCUCUCCCCAGACACUUCCUCCAGCUCCUCCGGGGGGAUCCCAAGGCAUUUCCAGGCCAACGAGAGACAUAGUCCCUCCAGCGUGUCCUGGGUCUUCCCUGAGGCCUCCUCCCGGUGGGACAUGCCUGGAACACCUCCCUAGGACCGCAAACGUCUGCAGAGAGGGGUGAGGACUGCAGGAGAUCAUCAGGACCUGCAGACUAUCUACCAUCGCACAGUCCACAAGAGAGCUGCCUCCAUCCUGAAACAACACAGAAUAUUCACACUCCUAACCUCAGGGCGGAGGUAUAGGAGUGUGAGAUGCAGGACUGCCAGACUCAAGAACUCCUUUUUCCCAUCAGCUUUCAGACUUAGGAUAACGGAUAACCAGUGGACAUAAACAGUGUCAUUCUUUGCUCAGUAGCACACUAUAUUCUCCAUCCCAGUUUGCACUAUUAAUGCAUACAACCGCACUCGAUCUGCUCCAGCCAUUAUACUGUUGUUUGCUCAUAAGCCAAUUGCACUAGGCACAUUUUGCAUAUUAAGCACAAUUUUAAGAACUACUAUACAUUGUUUACACCUGUUUACAUUACUCCA